rnacentral:rRNA from 1 species
UACAGAGGAUGCAAGCGUUAUCCGGAUUUAUUGGGCGUAAAGCGUCCUGAGGUGGCCUGCCAAGUCUUCUGUAAAAUAGCAGGGCUUAACCCUGGAGAUGCGGUGGAAACUAGCAGGCUAGAGUAUGGUAGGGGCAGAGGGAAUUCCCGGUGUAGCGGUGAAAUGCAUAGAGAUCGGGAAGAACACCAAUGGCGAAAGCACUCUGCUGGGCCAAUACUGACACUGAAAGACGAAAGCUAGGGGAGCAAAAGGG